CUCUUCGUGGUGUAGUGGUCAGCACGCUCGACGCGUAACCGAGAGGUCCGUGGUUCGAUUCCCGACGAAGGUA
rfam:Stegodyphus mimosarum contig78248, whole genome shotgun sequence.